rnacentral:rRNA from 1 species
GUGGGGAAUAUUGCACAAUGGGGGAAACCCUGAUGCAGCGACGCCGCGUGAGCGAAGAAGUAUUUCGGUAUGUAAAGCUCUAUCAGCAGGGAAGAAGAAAUGACGGUACCUGACUAAGAAGCCCCGGCUAACUACGUGCCAGCAGCCGCGGUAAUACGUAGGGGGCAAGCGUUAUCCGGAUUUACUGGGUGUAAAGGGAGCGUAGGCGGCGGAGCAAGUCAGAAGUGAAAGCCCGGGGCUCAACCCCGGGACGGCUUUUGAAACUGCCCUGCUUGAUUUCAGGAGAGGUAAGCGGAAUUCCUAGUGUAGCGGUGAAAUGCGUAGAUAUUAGGAGGAACACCAGUGGCGAAGGCGGCUUACUGGACUGACAAUGACGCUGAGGCUCGAAAGCGUGGGGAGCAAACAGGAUUAGAUACCCCAGUAGUCC